rnacentral:lncRNA from 1 species
UUAGGGGUGGAAAUCGGACGGAUCGGAUCGGAUUUGGGUGUUUCGGAAAAUUUCCGAUUUUUUUCGGAAGGCUAAAAUGCCUUCCGAUUCCGAUUCCGAUUUUUUCGGAAUUCAAGAAUCGAUUCCGAUUCCGAUUUUUUCGGAAAUUUCGGAAAAUCGGAUUUUUUCGGAAUCCUUCAUUUUCGGAUUUUUCGGAAUUUCCGGAUUUAAAAAAGAAAAAAAAUGAAAACAAAAUAAAGGGCAGCGGGGCUGGUGCUCGUCGAGAGAACGAGAGCGGCGUGGCUGGAGCUCGAUGGAGAGAACGAGGGCGGCGGGGCUGGUGCUCAGCGGAGAGAACGAGGGCGGCGGGGCUGGUGCUCGGCGGAGAGAACGAGGGCGGUGGGGCUGGUUUUCGGUGGAGAGAAAGAGGGCGGCGCUGCCGGUGCAAAAGGUGGAGAGAAU